GGCUUCGUGGCCCAAUGGCAAGGCGUCUGACUACGACGAGGAUCCCGGCUAGAACCAGAUCCGCAAAGUAAUCAGGAGAUUCUGGGUUCGACCCCCAGCGAGGUCA